AGAGUUUGAUCAUGGCUCAGAUUGAACGCUGGCGGCAGGCCUAACACAUGCAAGUCGAGCGGUAGAGAGAAGCUUGCUUCUCUUGAGAGCGGCGGACGGGUGAGUAAUGCCUAGGAAUCUGCCUGGUAGUGGGGGAUAACGCUCGGAAACGGACGCUAAUACCGCAUACGUCCUACGGGAGAAAGCAGGGGACCUUCGGGCCUUGCGCUAUCAGAUGAGCCUAGGUCGGAUUAGCUAGUUGGUGAGGUAAUGGCUCACCAAGGCGACGAUCCGUAACUGGUCUGAGAGGAUGAUCAGUCACACUGGAACUGAGGCACGGUCCAGACUCCUACGGGAGGCAGCAGUGGGGAAUAUUGGACAAUGGGCGAAAGCCUGAUCCAGCCAUGCCGCGUGUGUGAAGAAGGUCUUCGGAUUGUAAAGCACUUUAAGUUGGGAGGAAGGGCAGUUACCUAAUACGUAUCUGUUUUGACGUUACCGACAGAAUAAGCACCGGCUAACUCUGUGCCAGCAGCCGCGGUAAUACAGAGGGUGCAAGCGUUAAUCGGAAUUACUGGGCGUAAAGCGCGCGUAGGUGGUUUGUUAAGUUGGAUGUGAAAUCCCCGGGCUCAACCUGGGAACUGCAUUCAAAACUGACAAGCUAGAGUAUGGUAGAGGGUGGUGGAAUUUCCUGUAGCGGUGAAAUGCGUAGAUAUAGGAAGGAACACCAGUGGCGAAGGCGACCACCUGGACUGAUACUGACACUGAGGUGCGAAAGCGUGGGGAGCAAACAGGAUUAGAUACCCUAGUAGUCC
rnacentral:rRNA from 1 species